rnacentral:lncRNA from 10 species
GGUUUUCUGAGGGAGUUGGAAAGAGAUAAGAGAGAGACCUUGGGGAACAAUUUUAAAGUGGCUCAAUAGCGAUCGCAGAGCCAAACUCAUACCUACAUCAAUGUGGUGCAGAGAAUCUCUAAGAAUUUUUAAUGCUGAAUUGGAGCAAAGAAACUUCAAGGAGGAAGCAAAGUGAAGAACACAGAUUUCACAGAUGGGAUGCCUGGCUCAAAUUCCAGCUUGACCGCUGGUAGCUGUGUGACCCUCGGCAAGUUACUUGACCUCUCUCUACUCAGUGUCCUCAUCUGUCAGUGUAAUAUGAAUCAGAAAACAUGAACUCAGACUGAUGCUGGAAGCCACCUUAUGACUAUAAGCAGAAUCAGCCUCGUUAUGACGUUGAUGCUAUAAGCAACGGACUGAAAGAUACAAAGAGCAAGCAGACAGGAUGAAAUGCGUAAAUGGCGACAGUAGAGCCAGCCUUCAUGAAUCCAGAAAUGUGAGCCACAUUUUGAGGAUAGCAGAGUCACUGCAGAAGCCUGGAUCCUUGCAUAACCUUGUCGAGUGGGAAAAUCUACCCAUACUUGACCAACCACCUAACUGGGGGCUCUACAUCUGAGAGAAAUGAUUUUUUAUCUUAUUUAAGCCACUGUAGUUAGGAGUCAGUUUAUUACAGGACAUUGCCUGGUGUUCCAACAAAUAAACUACCUUAUUUGUUUCAAUAAAUAAAGUGGCUUUUAUUUACUAUUUUGGGGAUGGCUAAAAAAUUAUCAA